GCGAAGGUGGCGGAAUUGGUAGACGCGCUAGCUUCAGGUGUUAGUGUUCUUACGGAUGUGGGGGUUCAAGUCCCCCCCCUCGCACCA
rnacentral:tRNA from 2 species